rnacentral:rRNA from 1 species
GACGAACGCUGGCGGCGUGCUUAACACAUGCAAGUCGAACGAAGAGCGAUGGAAGCUUGCUUCUAUCAAUCUUAGUGGCGAACGGGUGAGUAACGCGUAAUCAACCUGCCCUUCAGAGGGGGACAACAGUUGGAAACGACUGCUAAUACCGCAUACGAUCUAAUCUCGGCAUCGAGGAUAGAUGAAAGGUGGCCUCUACAUGUAAGCUAUCACUGAAGGAGGGGAUUGCGUCUGAUUAGCUAGUUGGAGGGGUAACGGCCCACCAAGGCGAUGAUCAGUAGCCGGUCUGAGAGGAUGAACGGCCACAUUGGGACUGAGACACGGCCCAGACUCCUACGGGAGGCAGCAGUGGGGAAUCUUCCGCAAUGGACGAAAGUCUGACGGAGCAACGCCGCGUGAGCGAUGACGGCCUUCGGGUUGUAAAGCUCUGUUAAUCGGGACGAAAGGCCUUCUUGCGAAUAGGGAGAAGGAUUGACGGUACCGGAAUAGAAAGCCACGGCUAACUACGUG